rnacentral:rRNA from 1 species
UGGAGCCUGCGGUUUAAUCGGACUCAAACGCCGGGAAACUCACCAGAUAAGACAGCUGAAUGAUAGUCGGGCUGAAGACUCUACUUGACUAGCUGAGAGGAGGUGCACGGCCGUCGUCAGUUCGUACUGUGAAGCAUCCUGUUAAGUCAGGCAACGAGCGAGACCCACGCCAACAGUUGCCAGCUCGUCCUCCGGGAUGGUGGGGACACUGUUGGGACCGCCUCUGCUAAAGAGGAGGAAGGAAUGGGCAACGGUAGGUCAGCAUGCCCCGAAUUAUCUGGGCUACACGCGGGCUACAAUGGGUGGGACAAUGGGUAUCGACACCGAAAGGUGAAGGCAAUCUCCUAAACCCAUCCGUAGUUCGGAUUGUGGGCUGCAACUCGCCCACAUGAAGCUGGAAUCUGUAGUAAUCGUGUCUCAAAAUGGCACGGUGAAUAUGUCCCUGCUCCUU